rnacentral:rRNA from 1 species
UACGGAGGGUGCGAGCGUUAAUCGGAAUCACUGGGCGUAAAGCGUGCGUAGGCGGCGCUUCAAGUCAGACGUGAAAGCCCUCGGCUCAACCGAGGAAUUGCGUUUGAAACUGAAGUGCUAGAGUCUCGGAGAGGUUGGCGGAAUUCCAGGUGUAGGAGUGAAAUCCGUAGAUAUCGGGAGGAACACCAGUGGCGAAGGCGGCUCCCUGGCCUGUCUCUGACGCUCAGGUACGAAAGCGUGGGGAGCAAACAGG